rnacentral:lncRNA from 1 species
GCAUUUAAGGAUCGUACUUCCGGUGUGUCAACACGUGCCUGAGUGAUUUGUUUUUUUGGGGGGAUGUUCGUUCCGCUGAGAUAGUUGGUUGGACCGGCAGGGAGAGAUCGGUGUGUUUGUGGCUCCCCCCACCCCCCUCCCCCGUCAACCCUCUCCACCUCCAUAACCUCUUGUGAUUUCAGUGCCGAGGAUCAUGAAGCGAGACCUCACGACCAACGUCCACGAUCCUCGGUCCUCGGACUCCAAGACUGCGGGCUCUGAUGGAGGGGACAGAGGGGGUCCAGGAGCAGGAGGGGAUGGUGGGAUCUGCGGGUUCAGGAUCCUGGACGUUCAGAGCCUUCUUGAUGGAGGGGACGGGACGGACCGGGGACCAGAUGCUAUAGUGGUGGUGAAGGUGGAACCUGAACCGACAGGUGGUUUUCCCUCGCAAGAUUUUAAUUUGGAGGUGAAGGUGAAACCUGAACUUGUGGAUAAUAGUCCCUUACAAGACUUUAAUGGGGACGUGAAGGUGAAAACUGAACCUUUGGACAAUUGUUCAUCACAAGAUUUUAUUGGAGAUGUGGAGGUGAAACCUGAACUUGUGGAUCAUCAUUCUUCACAAGGCAAGUGCAGAACUACAUCCUAAUUGUUUGUUUCAGGUGUUAAUUUGUUCUGAAGGUAGAAUAUUCAACCAUUUGUGUGUACACCUUGUCAAAAGUAAAUUUCCUUGAGGUGUCGUGGCACAAUUUCACAUGCACACACAAGUGCACACACCUGAUAUAAAAGCUUAGAGGAUGUGUACUUGUAUUUGAAGUGUCUAUCCUGAGUAUUUAUCCACAUUCAUUUAAGGCCUCGUAAAUGCUUCAGAAGAGGAAUAUCCUGACUUUGAAAGAACCUGACUUUGCUGUUCUUUAUAUAGUGCUCUACAAACAGUGACACAUUCUUGUUUCCUUCACCAUUGAAGAUGGAUGGAGGUUAUGUUUUCAUCCGCUGUCUGUCUGUCCGUUUGUCUGCCUGUGAGCAGGAUAUCUCAAAAAGUUAUCGACAGAUUCGGAUUAAACUUGUUGGACAGGUUGGGUGUUUGACAAGGAAGGAUUCAUUCAAAUUAUGGUGAAGAUUCGGAUAUGAGAAUUUUGAUUUAUUUACUUAUGUGAUUGAAUCUUCACCAUCGAAAGAUCGGGCCAAAAGCGAAAUAGAGC